rnacentral:rRNA from 1 species
AUUGAACGCUGGCGGCAGGCUUAACACAUGCAAGUCGAGCGGGGAAAGGUAGCUUGUUACCUGACCUAGCGGCGGACGGGUGAGUAAUGUUUAGGAAUCUGCCUAUUAGUGGGGGACAACAUUCCGAAAGGAAUGCUAAUACCGCAUACGCCCUACGGGGGAAAGCAGGGGAUCUUCGGACCUUGCGCUAAUAGAUGAGCCUAAGUCAGAUUAGCUAGUUGGUGGGGUAAAGGCCUACCAAGGCGACGAUCUGUAGCGGGUCUGAGAGGAUGAUCCGCCACACUGGGACUGAGACACGGCCCAGACUCCUACGGGAGGCAGCAGUGGGGAAUAUUGGACAAUGGGCGAAAGCCUGAUCCAGCCAUGCCGCGUGUGUGAAGAAGGCCUUUUGGUUGUAAAGCACUUUAAGCGAGGAGGAGGCUACCGAGAUUAAUACUCUUGGAUAGUGGACGUUACUCGCAGAAUAAGCACCGGCUAACUCUGUGCCAGCCGCCGCCGUAA